CCAUUGUGGAAAACGAGGCAAGGCUGUUCCUCGAGCAACGGAAGCCCACGCGGCCUCCGGCAGGGACAGCGGGCUCCCGACGGAGGGGGACAUGGAGUGGAAAAGCCCGUUCCUCCCGGCGCUGUCGGAGAUCUGGGUGGGGGGAGCCGCCGUCCCCAGAGCCGGCCAACACCGCGGCCAUGAUGGUGACCGGCGCGCUCGCCUUGGUUGCUGCUGCUGCAGCUCCUGCUCAUCUCCGCCACAAUCUUCGCCGCCACCGUCAAGUACUCCUUCAUAGCCGCGCUCCUGCUCUCCUCGCGCUCCUACGACCGGCUUCGUCGCCAGAGCCGGGGAGGGCUAUGCCGUCCUGAUGGGGUAGGGAGCACGCGGGCCUCGUCCCUCGCCUAUGUUCACUACCGGUGCCGAGAGAUAAGUGCCUCUUCCUCCCUAUGUAUCUGCUCCAUCUGAUUCACAACCUCCUCAUCCCACCCCUGUUCCAAACCCUAGGUCUAUGGUUUCCUAUCUUCGUCCCCUUAUCUGUAAGAUCAGUGAGCUCUCAUGUUCUCACCCCUGGCUUCCACUUUUGAGCUUAGUGCAUACUUUGCCAUGGCCUGAUAUCUGAAUUUUUUGCUGUGUUCGUAGAGGUGCUGCUCCGGCAAUGGUGCCCUUGACCUGAGAUCAGGAUAGGGUCGUAGAUAUGAACAGAUUUUACUUCUCCUGGUGCCUGCGGUGAGGAUUGUGAAUCUGUACCUUGUGCUUCGAUGGACAAUAAUUUGUUGGACCAAGUCAUUAUUGUACAUACCAUUAUCUUCAGAAGCAGGUGCAGAGGAUCAUGUUAUAUGCAUUUGGUUUUGGAAGCUCAUUAGACAUUUGUCUCACUGUCUACAUUGAGAAGAAAAUAUUGUAGGUGUGUUUCUCUUUGCAAGUCUGCUAUGACACAGUAAAUGAUGGUAUUAUAUAAACAAUAAUUUAGGUUCUAUCUUUUGAUUCCCAUGUCAAACCCAUUGUUCUUCUGAUUUGCUUCAAUGCAGUUUUAUUUUAAUCAAGUAAGCUAGCACAAAGUAUUUUGUUGUAGGCAUGGCCUCAUGAUGAAGGUGGACUUAUAAGCUGUCACUCCACACCCAAGAACUUUAUAAGCAAUAGGAGACAGCCUUCUUUUUCGUUAAGAGUCUUUCUAUGCAGGUUUAGGCUGAAACUUUAAGCUAAUGGAAUAUAAAUUUAGAGUGCAAUCUAAGCAUUCAGACACACGGUUAGAGUGAAACUGUGAACUGUUUGCUUCAAGGCAGCCAAUGGUCUGCUUCCAACUGUAAUGAAAAGGACGAGGGUCCAUGGAUGUUGUCUGCUGCUGGCGGUGUGAUCUGAUGUUGUUGCCACAGCACGAUACAAAGGUGGGUUUAAUUUCUCUGCUUGGCACCAGCAUUUUACUUCGAUUCUUAUAUACUUCAUAGUACUUUUCCAUAUUUUCUUUGAUACAUUGCAUUUUUGUACUGACCGAAAGGCCCUGGGUAUAGUAAGGGGGCAUAUUCUCCUGUUCGGAAUAUCUGAUCCUAACAUGAUUAGGAUAGCGCAAUCUUUGUGGAAUUCUCACUUAACUAGGUUACGCACAAAUGUUCAAUGCACUGUAAUUUGCAUUGCGUUUCUGUCCUGAAAGAGAAUGCAAUAGGCUCAAGUAAGAACUUGGAAACAUAAAUGAA